rnacentral:rRNA from 1 species
AGCUCCAAUAGCGUAUACUAAUGUUGUUGCAGUUAAAAGCUCGUAGUCGGAUUUCAGAUUUGGAUUUUUUCGCUAUCUAAGUGACUUAAUUCAUUUCUUCUUUAACAGAAGGUUUCUUAACAUUAAUUUGUCGAGUUAUCCAACUGUUUCUUUUACUUUGAGAAAAUUAGAGUGUUCAAAAGCAGGUUUUUGCCUGAAUAUUACUCUUGGAAUAAUAAUAUAGGACUCUGGUUCUAGUUGUUGGUGAUCUAGUGCCGGAGUAAUGAUUGAUAGCGACGGUUGGGGUCAUUCGUACUGCAAAGCGAGAGGUGAAAUUCUUGGACCUUUGUAUGACGAACAACUGCGAAAGCAUUUGACUAGGACGUUCGCGUUGAUCAAGAACGAAAAG